ACCAAAACCUACUGUCAUAAAAUAAGCAAGAGGUUCCAUGUUCCAUUCUUGGGGUCUGUAUGGCAUACACAUUUUUUGUUUUCUCUUCAUUUUAAAACAACUUUUUUGCCCAGCGCGCACCAAACCCAAAACCAAAACUAAAUGAAUCAAAAGCUAAAUAUUAGAUACCUAAAAAUGUGAUAUGAGAUCCCCAGGACUGGUAUAGGGAACCCUUGAAUUAAGCGAAGUCAUUACUAAUUUUGCUUUCACUUUUACAGAUCAGGCUUCGGGAUUCUUCUCCUGUUGUGUUGACACACACAUGCUGUUCAUGUGUCGCAGGCACUGCUCUUUGCAACCACAUAGUGGCUUUGCUUUUCCAAACGGCACAUUUUUCUCAGCUCAGUGUGCCAGUAGUCCCCCCUGUACACGGCUGUACUGAAACGGAACAACGCUGGCACAAACCUCGGACAAUUGGUGUAAAGCCAGGACCCAUCAACAGCAUGGUGAUCACCAAACCUGUGCCAAACCGGACAUCUCAAGGUGGGGUUAGAAGCGGACUCUACAGAGGCAUGGUGGGCCCUUUACCGGACCCAUGCAUGUUUAGAAUUGCAGAGGCUUAUGAAAAGUUUGCACUUGAAGACAAGCCACUAGUGACCACCAUGGGCAUGGGAAUAAAGAAGCCAGCUGUUCAGUGUGC